rnacentral:lncRNA from 1 species
AGAAAAUUUAUUUGCUUCCAACAAUUACUUUUGUAAUACAUGUGAGCAAAAUUUGGGUGCAGCAACAAUGUUCACUCAAAGAUACAUUUGAGAAAUUGUGGGACCCACGAAAAUAGAAUUGAGACAAAUAGUGGGUGGUCGUACGUGAACUUGCAUCAUAUGUUCAGAUUGAAUGGCCAAUUGAAUUGAGAAGAACAGUGUAGAAGUUGGGAUUCGCAUGAAAUUGGAGUGAAACAACACGAUAACUUGGGCUGCACAAUUCUAAUUGAAGAAUUUUAUUUCAGUAAUUUUGGAGGUACGAAAAGCAGGAUUACAAUUUUUAAUUUGGGCCAAGCUACAUUGGGCUAGUCACAUUUUGGGUUCCAUGCUCUAUUAAGAAAUUUGAUCAUUCUUUAUUUUAAUUUUGUAAUCCAUUCUAGUGCCUAUUUUUAAGUGUUUUCUUUGGAGUGACUACUUUCUUGAAAACGUUUAAUUUUUUGUUUGUCUUGAUUUUAUGGAUAAUCUUUGUGUUUGUCAUCUCUGAUCUCCUUUGAGUUUUACUCUUCAAAUUAAGCUUUUAUUGUUUUUAUUAUGACCUCUUAAAGUGGAAUAUACCUUGAAUUUGUUCUUUGUGAGAAUUAAGCUAACUUCUAGGUAGCAUCCUAAGAGAAGGCAAAGAAUUUUGCAAGGGGUAUCACCUUUGGAGGAGAAACAAGUAAAGGCUUGGAGAGAAACACUUGUGAGAGAAGAGAAGAGAACUUUUAAGAUUAUUUUUUUAAAUUUUGUGUGAUUUCAAUUGUUUUGUAAUUUGGCCAUUAUCUUUACUUUAGGUGUCAUGGAGGAGCCUUUGGUGUUCUUAGAUGACCGGGAGAAUAUUGAAGCGAAAUUGGAAGAUGAGGAUAAGACUUUACUUCUUCUUAGUACCUUAUCCAAAAAGUAUGAACAUUUUAAAGACGUUUUCUUUGUUCGGGAAGGAGCAUAUCAUUACCCUAGAGGAGAUGUAAACCUUUAUAAGGAUUAAGGGGCUUCAAAAGUUUAAAGAGUUAAAGGGGGUAAGAAAAUGGGUUGAGUUUGAAUGUGUCAAAGUCAAAGGGA